rnacentral:rRNA from 1 species
UACAGAGGUCUCAAGCGUUGUUCGGAUUCAUUGGGCGUAAAGGGUGCGUAGGUGGCGCGCUAAGUCAGGUGUGAAAUUUCGGAGCUUAACUCCGAAACUGCAUUUGAUACUGGCGUGCUUGAGGACUGGAGAGGAGACUGGAAUCAUGGUGUAGCAGUGAAAUGCGUAGAGAUCAUGAGGAAGACCAGUGGCGAAGGCGGGUCUCUGGACAGUUCCUGACACUGAGGCACGAAGGCCAGGGGAGCAAACGGG